AGGCUAAGACGAAUUUUCCUACAGUUACGGAGCUGAACAACGCGGCUGCAGCCGCCGUUGCCGCGGGAGCAGUCACCGUCGCACGAAGUCCUAGCCAAAGUAGCACCGUUGAGUCUUCAUCACCUACACCUCCACGCGCUGCUUCUCCUCCACCGCCUCUUGACCUUACUCUCAACAUUCCUAGUCAUCAACAUCAUCAUCUCCGCCACGGCCAUUUCCCUACCGGUGUUAUUUUUCCUGGUGGCGCGUGGAUUUCACUGGCGGCGGAGGCUCAUCCAGUUUUCUUCUUCGAUGCGUUCUCU
rnacentral:lncRNA from 1 species